UUCAGGAUGAGAAGAUCAGUGGUAUUAAUUCUCGUAGCUGCGUCAGUUGCUCUUGGUGAUCGCAUUGUCCCAGAUCAAGCUGUUGUUAUCAGAGAUGAAACCGACCGGGUCACAUUGAGUUGCUCGUAUGAAACAAGCAGUGAAUAUGUUGAUCUUUAUUGGUACAGACAGUAUCCUAAAAGUGAGCCACAGUACAUACUGUGGAAAAGUGCACGACAAAGUAGUGGGAGUGAUAUACCAGAUCCUCAUUUUGAAUCUUCUACAAGCAGAACAUCCACUGAACUGAUUAUUAAAGCAGCUACUCUGAACGAUUCAGCUCUCUAUUACUGUGCUCUUUGGAAAGACCCAGUGAUACAAAGUUUCUGAGAAGCUUUAC